AACGCUAGCUACAGGCUUAACACAUGCAAGUCGAGGGGCAGCAUAGAAGUAGCAAUACUUUGGUGGCGACCGGCGCACGGGUGAGUAACGCGUAUGCAACCUACCUAUCAGAGGGGAAUAACCCGGCGAAAGUCGGACUAAUACCGCAUAAAACAGGGGCACCGCAUGGUGAUAUUUGUUAAAGAAAUUCGCUGAUAGAUGGGCAUGCGUUCCAUUAGGUAGUUGGUGAGGUAACGGCUCACCAAGCCGACGAUGGAUAGGGGAACUGAGAGGUCGGUCCCCCACACUGGUACUGAGACACGGACCAGACUCCUACGGGAGGCAGCAGUGAGGAAUAUUGGUCAAUGGGCGAGAGCCUGAACCAGCCAAGUAGCGUGAAGGAUGACGGCCCUACGGGUUGUAAACUUCUUUUGUGCGGGAAUAAAGGAACCUACGUGUAGGUUUUUGCAUGUACCGUAACGAAUAAGCAUCGGCUAACUCCGUGCCAGCAGCCGCGGUAAUACGGAGGAUGCGAGCGUUAUCCGGAUUUAUUGGGUUUAAAGGGAGCGUAGACGGGUUUUUAAGUCAGCUGUGAAAGUUUGGGGCUCAACCUUAAAAUUGCAGUUGAAACUGGAGACCUUGAGUACGGUUGAGGCAGGCGGAAUUCGUGGUGUAGCGGUGAAAUGCUUAGAUAUCACGAAGAACUCCGAUUG
rnacentral:rRNA from 1 species